rnacentral:rRNA from 1 species
UACGGAGGGGGUUAGCGUUGUUCGGAAUGACUGGGCGUAAAGCGCGCGUAGGCGGAUCAUCAAGUCGGGGGUGAAAUCCCGGGGCUCAACCCCGGAAUGGCCUUCGAGACUGGUGGUCUUGAGUUCGAGAGAGGUGAGUGGAAUUCCGAGUGUAGAGGUGAAAUUCGUAGAUAUUCGGAAGAACACCAGUGGCGAAGGCGACUCGCUGGACAGGUAUUGACGCUGAGGUUCGAAAGCGUGGGGAGCAAACAGG